UCACAUAUCACUGGGGGAGCUUGUUAAAAUGCAGCUUCUGAUUCAGCAGGGUGAGGUGGGGUCUGAGGUCCACCUCUCUAACAACCUCCCAGAUGAUGCUGUU
rnacentral:pre_miRNA from 1 species